UACGGAGGGGGCUAGCGUUGUUCGGAAUUACUGGGCGUAAAGCGCGCGUAGGCGGACCUGCAAGUCGGGGGUGAAAGCCCGAGGCUCAACCUCGGAACUGCCUUCGAUACUGCGGGUCUCGAGUCCGGGAGAGGUGAGUGGAAUUCCUAGUGUAGAGGUGAAAUUCGUAGAUAUUAGGAAGAACACCAGUGGCGAAGGCGGCUCACUGGACUGGUAUUGACGCUGAGGUGCGAAAGCGUGGGGAGCAAACAGG
rnacentral:rRNA from 1 species